GUCCAGGAAAAUAUGACGAUAUUAGAAUAUGCACGUAAGUUCCUAGAGCUGGGCCGAUAGUCCCCGGAGACAUUGAUGGAUGAGGGCAGGAAGGCCAGGAGAUUCUAGUGGGGCCUCCGCCCAAAGAUCAAGCAACACUUAUUGGUACUGGAGCUCAAGACAUACUCAGCCGUUCUAGUAAAGGCGCAGAUUGUGGAGAGGAAUUUCAACACACGUCUUCAGUCAGUAGGGAGUCACCGACCCUCAGCUCCACCCCACAGACCAGCACCUACUGCGCCGGUCCAACCAAAUAAGAGGCCCAGAUUAAUGAUCCAGGCCCCUCCUCAGGCUCUAGGGGUAGCACGUGGAAAGAUCUGCCAGCACUGCAGCAGGGAUCACGGGGACCGACCAUGCUAUCGCCUCAACAACACCUGUUGCAUAUGUGGUAGUGCCUAACACUAUGCGAGAGAGUACCUGAGGAACCAGAACUAAGGAAGAUAGGGUUUACACCCUCACCCAGUAGGAUGCUGACGCCGACCCGGACGUUGUACAGGGUAUGUACACUAUUUGUGAUUAUAUUGCUCAUGUAUUAUUUGACACUGGUGCAUCUCAUUC
rnacentral:lncRNA from 1 species